UACGAAGGGGGCUAGCGUUGCUCGGAAUCACUGGGCGUAAAGCGCACGUAGGCGGACUGUUAAGUCGGGGGUGAAAUCCUGGGGCUCAACCUCAGAAUUGCCUCCGAUACUGGCAGUCUCGAGUGCGGGAGAGGUGAGUGGAAUUCCCAGUGUAGAGGUGAAAUUCGUAGAUAUUGGGAAGAACACCAGUGGCGAAGGCGGCU
rnacentral:rRNA from 1 species